CGGGGGGGGCAAGCGUUGUUCGGAAUUACUGGGCGUAAAGGGCGCGUAGGCGGCCUGCUAAGUCGGACGUGAAAUCCCUCGGCUCAACCGGGGAACUGCGUCCGAUACUGGUGGGCUCGAAUCCGGGAGAGGGAUGUGGAAUUCCAGGUGUAGCGGUGAAAUGCGUAGAUAUCUGGAGGAACACCGGUGGCGAAGGCGGCAUCCUGGACCGGCAUUGACGCUGAGGUGCGAAAGCCAGGGGAGCAAACGGGAUUAGAUACCCCGGUAGUCCUGGCCCUAAACGAUGAGUGCUUGGUGUGGCGGGUAUCGAUCCCUGCCGUGCCGAAGCUAACGCAUUAAGCACUCCGCCUGGGGAGUACGGUCGCAAGGCUG
rnacentral:rRNA from 1 species